rnacentral:rRNA from 1 species
GACGAACGCUGGCGGCGUGCUUAACACAUGCAAGUCGAACGAAGUGGCGAACGGGUGAGUAACGCGUAAUCAACCUGCCCUUAAGAGGGGGAUAACAGUUGGAAACGACUGCUAAUACCGCAUACUGAAGGAGGGGAUUGCGUCUGAUGAGCUCGUUGGGGGGGUAACGGCCCACCAAGGUGAUGAUCAGUAGCCGGGCUGAGAGGGUGAACGGCCAAAUUGGGAAUGGGACACGGCCCAAACUCCUACGGGAGGCAGCAAGUGGGAAUCUUCCGCAAUGGACGAAAGUCUGACUGAGCAACGCCGCGUGAGUGAUGACGGCCUUCGGGUUGUAAAGCUCUGUUAAUCGGGACGCGGUACCGGAAUAGAAAGCCACGGCUAACUACGUGCCAGCAGCCGCGGUAAUUC